GACGAACGCUGGCGGCGUGCUUAACACAUGCAAGUCGAGCGGUAAGGCCCCUUCGGGGGUACACGAGCGGCGAACGGGUGAGUAACACGUGAGCAACCUACCCUCAACUUUGGGAUAAGCCUCGGAAACGGGGUCUAAUACCGGAUAAUACUGACCGUCUCAUGGUGGUUGGUUGAAAGUUCUGGCGGUUGGGGAUGGGCUCGCGGCCUAUCAGCUUGUUGGUGGGGUAAUGGCCUACCAAGGCGUCGACGGGUAGCCGGCCUGAGAGGGCGACCGGCCACACUGGGACUGAGACACGGCCCAGACUCCUACGGGUGGCUG
rnacentral:rRNA from 1 species